UACGGGGGGGGGCAAGCGUUGUUCGGAAUUACUGGGCGUAAAGGGCUCGUAGGCGGCCAACUAAGUCAGACGUGAAAUCCCCAGGCUCAACCUGGGAACUGCGUCUGAUACUGGAUGGCUUGAAUCCGGGAGAGGGAUGCAGAAUUCCAGGUGUAGCGGUGAAAUGCGUAGAUAUCUGGAGGAAUACCGGUGGCGAAGGCGGCAUCCUGGACCGGCAUUGACGCUGAGGCGCGAAAGCCAGGGGAGCAAACGGG
rnacentral:rRNA from 1 species